rnacentral:miRNA from 1 species
GCGGGCGGGGCCGGGGGCGGGG